rnacentral:rRNA from 1 species
GACGUAGGGGCCGAGCGUUGUCCGGAGUUACUGGGCGUAAAGCGUGCGCAGGCGGUUCGGAAAGAAAGAUGUGAAAUCCCAGGGCUUAACCUUGGAACUGCAUUUUUAACUGCCGGGCUAGAGUAUGUCAGAGGGGGGUAGAAUUCCACGUGUAGCAGUGAAAUGCGUAGAGAUGUGGAGGAAUACCGAUGGCGAAGGCAGCCCCCUGGGAUAAUACUGACGCUCAUGCACGAAAGCGUGGGGAGCAAACAGG